CAGAGGAACGGCAGAGCCUUUUUACAGAUGUAUUUACAGAUGCUUGGCUAGUGUGUGCAGGAAAACAAAAAACAAAAGGCUAGCACACAGCUUCCUCCUCCCCUAGAGACUACCCGAGUUUCCAGAUUACGUAGUGGGGCCGCCAUCAGAGAGCACAGCCCACCUGGGUUGCCCAGCUAGUCUGUGUUUGUCUUCUUCAUCCCCAAAGUGCCACAGUCAUGUUCCCAGGACCAAAGUCAUGACAUGGCACAUGCUCGCUCAGUCAUAUCUGGUGUGACUUCUCCACGAUGGACUUCUAAGCCAUAAGCCAAAAUAAAUCUUUCCUUCCUUAGUUAAGCCAGGUCUUUUAACACAGCAAUGAGUAAGCCAUAGUUAACUACCUUUUGCUUUUGACCCAUUUAAUGAGCUUUCUCAUCAGGAGCCAAGUAACUUCACAAAAAUUGUGUAUUACAAAUAGACUUCAGUCUUUCAAGUGAGACAAAUCCUCAUUUUAAAUGCUGUUUACUGGGACUUAGGGAUGCAGCUCAGUAGUAGAGCUCUCAUGGAAGGUCCUGGGGUUUGAACUCCAGUACUGUUUGGAGACAGGGUCUCAUUAUGUAGCCUUGCAUGGUACUGAUUAUGUAGACUAGGCUGGCCUCAAAUUCAUAGAGCUCCUUGAGUACUGGGAGAGACUAAAGUUGUGCACCACCACACUUGGCUUCCCUGUUUGUAUCCAGCUUUGGGUUGUAUCUCAGUUAUUUAUCCCACUUGGACGUGCUGGAACAUAAUAUGGAGGAUAUAAGCAGUAAAAAGGAUCCUUAGCAUUGGGCAGUGAUUAACAUUUAUCAGUUUUUAUAAUAAUGAACUAUUCAGUGUUACAAGAAGUCAGAGUAUGGCCGCCUUUCUUACAACUUGCACUUCAGAUAAAUGAUGCUCCCAAUGUAGUCUGGACAGCACACUUGGAGAAAGGCCAGGUCUCUCGGCACACAAGUCUACACUGUCUACAGCUUCAGCUUUGAGAGGUACUUGUCCCAGAUUUGCAGUCUGUAGGGAAAGACUUGUCUCCUCUCUGCUACUUCUAAGACCACACUGUAAAGAAAACAUUGAGGAAGCACGCUAACCCUGUUCUCCACAGCUAGAGCCUGGCUAUCCAGAAUCCUAAGUAGGGUUCACUCACGGUCCCGGUAAGUGGUACUUUGUUAGGCUUUCGUGCACAGUCUCCAGAGACCUGGUGACUCUUACAGGCUCAGAGCUGCCAUGCUUGCCAACCUUACUCAAGUUGUUCUCUUUUCUGCCAGGGCAUUUGGUUUAUCCACUCUAAAAACACGCCAGUGUGUCCUUUUACUGCCAUUAAUCGAAGUUGGGGAUUACCGAAAGCUUUUCAUGUUCUGCUUUCAUGUACUUCCUUUUCUGUCUAGGCAGCAUAAUUCGCUGUAUGAGGCGCCUGGAAGAACUGCUUCGACAGAUGUGUCAAGCAGCAAAAGCCAUUGGAAACACAGAGCUGGAGAACAAAUUUGCUGAAGGAAUCACCAAAAUCAAGAGGGAUAUUGUAUUCGCUGCCAGCCUCUACUUAUAGAGUUCAACAUUAAUCACCAUCUGUCUGAUUACAGUUGACUGUAACUGCUUACAAGUGUCCAAGUGAUUCUUCCAUCAAGAGUUGUUUGAAGCAUUUUAUUAUAUUUAAAUCAGAUAUCAUUCUAAGAAGGCAUGUAACAUACACAUUUGUACAUAGCAUCUUUCAAUUAAAAAAUGUACAAGUGGG